CAACUGCAGAGAGUGGAGACCCGGCAAAGCAAACAAAUGAAUACUGAAAAAGAUCCCCAAAGGAGAUGUAAGGAUCCGGAACUCUAAUGUCUGCCAGAAGCUUCAGCCACCUUCACAGGCUAGGGCUCACCGUCCAUUGUGGAGGUGAAGACCAGAUGAGAGCUGCUGGAUUGACCUUGAUGUGCCAUGUCCUUGUGUGGAUGAAGGACCUACAUCUCAGGGAUGGCCAGCAGCAGAUGUAACACAUGUCUCCAGGAAUGGGCUAAAUAACCUACCUUGAGAGGUAAGUAAAAUCGUGGCCACAAAUAGACAUCCCAGGAAUUGGUGGGGCUUGACCCAGGGUCCUUCAGCACAAGCCCCUCUCACUCACUGUCAACAAAUCCAGCUCCACUCACUAGACCACACCCCAUUCCAGAGCCCCAGAUCCCAGG